rnacentral:rRNA from 1 species
UGAGUACGAGCUGCUACGGCAGCGAAGUGGGUGAUGUCAAGCUUCCAAGAAAAGCCCUAUACCCGUUAAGGCAUGACGGCCUGUACCCGAAACCGACACAGGUGGGGUGGUAGAGAAUACCGAGGGGCGCGAGAUAACUCUCUCUAAGGAACUCGGCAAAAUGGCCCCGUAACUUCGGGAGAAGGGGUGCCACCGCAAGGUGGUCGCAGUGAAGAGGCCCAGGCGACUGUUUACCAAAAACACAGGUCUCCGCUAAGUCGCAAGACGAUGUAUGGGGGCUGACGCCUGCCCAGUGCCGGAAGGUUAAGGAAGCUGGUCAGCGCAAGCGAAGCUAGCGACUGAAGCCCCGGUGAACGGCGGCCGUAACUAUAACGGUCCUAAGGUAGCGAAAUUCCUUGUCGGGUAAGUUCCGACCCGCACGAAAGGCGUAACGAUCUGGGCGCUGUCUCGGAGAGAGGCUCGGCGAAAUAGAAUUGUCUGUGAAGAUGCGGCCUACGUGCACCCGGACAGAAAGACCCUAUGAAGCUUUACUGUAGCUUGGUAUUGUGCCCGGGCUCUGAAUGCGCAGGAUAGGUGGGAGGCUUUGAUCCAUUGCUUGUGGGUAAUGGUGAGCCAACGGUGAGAUACCACUCUUUCAGAGCUAGGGUUCUAACCCUCACCCGUUAUCCGGGGAGGGGACAGUAUCAGGUGGGCAGUUUGACUGGGGCGGUCGCCUCCUAAAAGGUAACGGAGGCGCGCAAAGGUUUGCUCAGGCUGGUUGGAAAUCAGCCGACGAGUGUAAAAGCAGAAGCAAGCUUGACUGUGAGACCAACAAGUCGAACAGGGACGAAAGUCGGCUUUAGUGAUCCGACGGUUCUGAGUGGAAGGGCCGUCGUUCAACGGAUAAAAGUUACUCUAAGGAUAACAGGCUGAUCUCCCCCAAGAGUUCACAUCGACGGGGAGGUUUGGCACCUCGAUGUCGGCUCAUCGCAACCUGGGGCUGAAGUCGGUCCCAAGGGUUGGGCUGUUCGCCCAUUAAAGCGGUACGCGAGCUGGGUUCAGAACGUCGUGAGACAGUUCGGUCCAUAUCCGGUGCAUGCGUAAGAACAUUGACAGGAGUACUCCCUAGUACGAGAGGACCGGGAGGAACGCACCUCUGGUGUACCAGUUAUCGCGCCAACGGUAAACGCUGGGUAGCCAUGUGCGGAGAGGAUAACCGCUGAAAGCAUCUAAGUGGGAAGCCCACCUGAAGAUGAGUGUUCUCAUGGCUUAAGCCAGUAAGGUCACGGGAAGAACACCCGUUGAUAGGCUCUACGUGGAAGCGCAGCAAUGCGUGAAGCGGAGGAGUACUAAUAGACCGAGGGCUUGAC